rnacentral:rRNA from 1 species
UACGUAGGGUGCAAGCGUUAAUCGGAAUUACUGGGCGUAAAGCGUGCGCAGGCGGCUUUGCAAGACAGAUGUGAAAUCCCCGGGCUUAACCUGGGAACUGCAUUUGUGACUGCAUGGCUAGAGUGCGGCAGAGGGGGAUGGAAUUCCGCGUGUUGCAGUGAAAUGCGUAGAUAUCAAGAGGAACACCUGCGGCGAAGGCGGGUUGCUGGGCCGACACUGACGCUGAUGCGCGAAAGCCAGGGGAGCGAACGGG